rnacentral:misc_RNA from 1 species
ACACGGCCAAGGCAAGUGUAAAUGACUUCAUUGACCGUUGAGGCAUUUGUGCUGUACAAAGGUGUUAUCAUGCAAAGACGUGUCAUUACUAUAAUUUGCUGCAACAAGGAACAACGUGAACUACUUGACAAGCCUGGGUAUUGCAAUGGGUCCCUCUGUUCUCCAAUGUACGUCACUUCCGGUGAAAAAGCCACGAAAAAAAGCCAACUUUGAGGCCCGAAUAAACGAAUGCGUCAUCGAAGAAAGAAUGCGUCAACAGCGCGCCAUAAUUAAGCGUUCGACCGCAUCUGAAGCUUUACCUCGAAAGGUCGCAGAGAGUGUAACAAACGAAAACUGCUCACCGAGAAACAUUCUGCGAAAUGGUGCAACAUUGCUAAAGAAGCAAGAGAUCUUAGGUCUCGCCUACAGAAACAAACAUAUAUUACGCAGAGUUCCUUUUUCCUUGACAACAGUUGAUCUUUCAAGGACUUUAAUGAACUUAUAGUUCCAUUAAAAUGCUCAACCGCACGUUGGCUUUUGGAGACAUCAUCUACCUUAACAUCUGAAGGGAAGUCAUUGUAUCUUUUCCAACAAAUGG